rnacentral:rRNA from 1 species
AUUGAACGCUGGCGGCAGGCCUAACACAUGCAAGUCGAACGAGUGGCGGACGGGUGAGUAAUGUCUGGGAAACUGCCCGCUGGAGGGGGAUAACUACUGGAAACGGUAGCUAAUACCGCAUACCAUCGGAUGUGCCCAGAUGGGGUUAGCUUGUAGGUGAGGUAACGGGUCACCUAGGCGACGAGCCCUAGCUGGGCUGCGAGGAGGACCGGCCAAACGGGAACGGAGACACGGUCCAGACGCCUACGGGAGGCAGCAGGGGGGAAUAUUGCACAAUGGGCGCAAGCCUGAUGCAGCCAUGCCGCGUGUAUGAAGAAGGCCUUCGGGUUGUAAAGUACUUUCAGCGGGGAGGCGUUACCCGCAGAAGAAGCACCGGCUAACUCCGUGCCAGCCGCCGCGGUAAUAC